UACGAAGGGGGCUAGCGUUGCUCGGAAUCACUGGGCGUAAAGGGUGCGUAGGCGGGUCUUUUAAGUCAGGGGUGAAAUCCUGGAGCUCAACUCCAGAACUGCCUUUGAUACUGAGGAUCUUGAGUAUGGGAGAGGUGAGUGGAACUGCGAGUGUAGAGGUGAAAUUCGUAGAUAUUCGCAAGAACACCAGUGGCGAAGGCGGCUCACUGGCCCAUUACUGACGCUGAGGCACGAAAAGCGUGGGGGAGCAAACAGG
rnacentral:rRNA from 1 species